rnacentral:rRNA from 1 species
AUUGAACGCUGGCGGAAUGCUUUACACAUGCAAGUCGAACGGCAGCACGGACUUCGGUCUGGUGGCGAGUGGCGAACGGGUGAGUAAUGUAUCGGAACGUGCCCAGUAGUGGGGGAUAGCCCGGCGAAAGCCGGAUUAAUACCGCAUACGACCUAAGGGUGAAAGCGGGGGAUCGCAAGACCUCGCGCUAUUGGAGCGGCCGAUGUCAGAUUAGGUUGUUGGUGGGGUAAAAGCCUACCAAGCCGACGAUCUGUAGCUGGUCUGAGAGGACGACCAGCCACACUGGGACUGAGACACGGCCCAGACUCCUACGGGAGGCAGCAGUGGGGAAUUUUGGACAAUGGGGGCAACCCUGAUCCAGCCAUGCCGCGUGCGGGAAGAAGGCCUUCGGGUUGUAAACCGCUUUUGUCAGGGAAGAAACGCUCUGGGCUAAUACCCCGGGGUAAUGACGGUACCUGAAGAAUAAGCACCGGCUAACUACGUGCCAGCAGCCGCAGUAA